rnacentral:lncRNA from 1 species
GGGAUUUAAAUAUCCCGGUGCUAUUGCAAUAGUUUCGAUGUUUUUGCUCUUUUUUCACGAUGUGUUAAUGACAUUGUACAUUGUAGAAUAGCCUGCUGUCAAACGGUUGUGGGUAGUGCCUUACCUUACCUGAGGGAAAAUAAAGCGCUAGGUUGCGCUGCGCGCCAAAACUUUAUGGAUGACAUUUAGCACGUUAAAUGCAGCGAUCAGGGAUUUAAAUCUCAUGUUUUUAUAUACAUGUACAUGUACAUUUACAGACGUAUACAUGAACAUUGACAGACUUUCUAUGUGUCCACAAAACUAAUGCUGUCAUGUUCUCUCUCCCUCUUCUCGUUUGUGACAGUGUGCUACGUUGUGUUUUGCGUGUUUGUGAAGUGUAAGUGACAUAUUGUGUUAUAUUUAGACAUCCUUGAGAGAUGGAGAGUUUGGGGUGGACAUUAUGUGUAACUUCUGUACACAUGCUUCCAAUCCAUCAGGUACUGACGCAACAGAUCCGCAAUGAUGUGGACAAAGACGCGGUCUUGAUCAGCAUUGGAAGUUGUCGUGCCACGUUUCGCAACUUAGACAGUCUGGCAGGUCCAGAGUUCAACUGGCUGACCAAUGAUGUAAGUAAAACUUAGAAAUACAUUUUUAUUUUACUUUUUUCCUAUCAUGUUGUCAUCAAAUUUCUUUUUCUUUCUUGUAGAAUACACGCGUUGCAGUGAUUGCUGCAGAUCACAAACAAUGUUCCACUUAUAUUUCCACAGGUCUACUGAAUGGAACACAUCAAGACUCAAUGAAUUUAGACUGACCACAGCAUACAAGACACUGCACCUGAAGACAGGCACCUAUCUCCCUGCAAUCACCCGACACUGAAUGUCUUGCAUCAAAUUUAAAAAAAACACACACUGUCAUAGUUUUUUCAAUGUUUGCUAUUGAAUUGUAUUUAAAUUCGUUCAGAUGUUGUUUAUCAUGUGUGUGCAUAUACAUCUGCACCUUAGUGUAAUUACUGCACUUGGUUUGGAAAAUGUAUUUAUUGCUAGCUCUACUGAUGGCUGUAAAGUACUCAGCUGUCAGUCAAAGUUCAGAGCAGUUAUGUGUCACUGUCAAGAUUAUGUCACUGAAUAAAUAGAUUGGUUUCAAAGACGUUAAUUGGGAA